rnacentral:lncRNA from 1 species
UUUUUUUUUUUUUUUUGGUUCGUUGAUAACUGCCACCUUUCCAUGUCAAAGAAAUUUUAUCUUAUCUACCAUCAAGGGCAUACGCAAAUUUCUCCACUUCCAGAAAUGCUUUUUACAGCUGGUUCAUUUAAACCAGGACCCAGUCUAGAUCCUUGCAUUACGUCUGGUUUAUACGUCUUUAGGCCCAAAAAACAGUCCCUUUUUUCUCACACUGACUUGUUAAAGAGACCACCUGUUGUCCUACACAAUGACCUACUUUCUAAAUUUGCCUGAUUUUGUUUGUUACUCUACCCUAUCCUGAGUUUUCUGUAAACUAAAUGGUAAAUUUAAAGGCUUGAUAGUAAAUGUUUUGGUCAGAAUACAUUUUAAAUAAUGUUGUAUAUUUCAUAUUGUGUUAGAUCGACCCAUAAUAUUAAUAUGACUCAUCAGUAGAAAUGCUCAGAACUGGUCCCUAGGAGUUUCUGUUGUGGCUCAGUGGUAACAACCCAGCUAGUAUCCAUGAGGACACAGGUUCGAUCCCUGGCCCUCCCCAGUGGAUGAAGGAUCUGGCGUUGCCCUAAGAUUCAGUGUAGGUCGCAGACAUAGCUCAGAUCCCACAUUGCUGUAGCUUGAGGUAUGAGCCAGCAGCUGCAGCUCCAAUUCAACGCCUAGCCUGGGAACCUCCAUAUGCCUCAGGUGCAGCACCCACACCCAAAAAUGGCCCCUAGAUUCAGGUGAUGAUGGUUUGAUUCCUCCAUUGUAGUAUGUUUCCUUAUUGCCAACUAUAAAGCCACUUAGGCGCUUUAUGAAUGGCAGUUACCUUUUAACCACACGUCAAUUGAUAAUUCUCACCUGAAUUAAUAAUUUCACUAAUUUGUAGGGUAAUUAUGUUAUAAUUUCUUCAUUAUUAGGUGGGAAUUUUUUAUUUUUUAUGGCCACACCUGCAGCAUAUGGAACUCUCUGGGCUGGGGAUUAAAUGUGAGCCAUAGCUGUGAUCUAUGCUGCAGCUGUGGCAAUGCCGGAUCCCUUAAUCCACUAUGCUUGGCCAGGGAUUGAACUGUGCCUCUGCAGCAACCUGAGCCACUGCACCACAGCAGGAAUGCCACGUGAGAAGUCAUGCCUUUCAUUGUCAACUGGAGAGAUUCUUGAUUUUAAUAGAAUCAUGUUCCUAUUCCCCCCCCCCCCGGUGAUAUCUCCUCUUAGGAUCUUGUUUAAGAAGUUUUUUUCUAUUCUGUAUUUUUAAAGUAGUUUCAUCUUUGGUAUAUGGGUCUUUUAAUCUAAAUGGAACUCACUGUUGUAGACGUGGAUGAUGGAGGGAUUUAUCUUGUGUCCUCCAUAGCGUGAGCUAUUUUUCUCAAUGCCACCUGUUACAUAGUCUUUGGUACCCAGCAUCCAAGAUGGCCACCAGCAAUUCUUUUGCCGCUUCCUAAUUCAGGCUCUUGUUCAGUCCACUCCCAUGCCGAAGAGGGCUGACCUAUGUAACCUGUAGGAGACUGCAGAAAUGAUAGUGUGUGAUUUCUAAAGCCAGAUCAUAAAAGACCUGUUUCUGCCUCUCUCGGAUCAUUCACUCUGGGGAAAGCCAGCUGCCAUGUAAGGAUACUCAGUCAGCCCUAGGGAGAAGUCCACCUGGAAGCCUCCUGCCAAUGGCCAACACAGACUCCCAGCCACAUGGGUGAACUGUCCUAGAAGUGGAUCCUCUAGGCCCAGUCAAGUCUUCAGAUAAGUACGGCCCUGGUCAACAUCUGGACUCCAGCUUCAUGAGAGACCCUGGCUCAGGACCACGAACUAAGCCAAUCUCACAUUCCUGACUCAGAGAAGUUAUGUGAGAUAAUAAAUGUGUACUGUUGGUUUAAGCUGCUAAAUUUGUAGUAAUUUGUUACCCAGUAACAGAUAACAGAUUUCGGUAUCUGGAGUGGGGUUCUACCAUAACAAAAACCUAAAACGUGGGAGUGGUUUUAGACCUGGGAAGUGGGCACAAGCUGGAAAGACUUUGAGGACGCUUUAUUAAGAGCCUAAAGAGCUCUUCUUUUGUUUCGUUUUUUUUUUUUUGUUUUGGCCACACUUGAGGCAUGUGGGAGUUCCCAGGCCAGGGAUCAAACCAGAGCCAGAGUUAUGACCUGUGCCACAGCUGUGGCAAUACCCGAUCCUUAACCCACUGCGCUACACAGGAACUUCCCUAAAGAGCUUUAAAGAGUAUUCAUAGAAAUCUGAUAACCUUUGAGGAGGCUGCAGUGUGGAACACGUUUAUUGGAAAGUUCCAGAAAGGGAAUCCUUGUUGUGUAGUGGCAGAAGUAUCAACACUGUCUCCUACAGUACUGUAGAAAGUGGAGAACAUAUCUAAUGAACUGAGUGAUCUAGCUAAAGAAAUUUCCAGCUGUACAGUAGGAAAAAAAAAUGACGUAUUGGGGCAAUAAAAAAAAGGAAAAAAAAAAAUUCCAGACAGGAUGUUGAAGAUUAUAGUAAAACAGAAGAGGAGAAGGUAAACUAAAGGAAAAAAGAAUUGAACAAAAAGGAUCCAGGAAUUUGGGGGCUUGCAAGUUUCCAGCCCUUCAGAUAACGAUUGAUGAUAAAAUUAACAAAUGGCUUGCUGGAGUUCCUGCUGUGGCAUGGCGGAUUAAGGAUCUGGUGUUGUCUGUGCAGUGGUGCAGGUUUGAUCCCUGGCCCAGUGCAGUGGGUUAAGGCUCCAGCAUUGCCAGAGCUGUGGCGUAGGUUGCAGCUGCAGCUUGGAUUUGGCCCCUGGCCCAGGAACUUUCAUCUGCCAGAGGUGUAGCUGAGAAGGGAGAAAAAUAUUAACAAACGACCUCCAGGCAAAGAUCACAAACAGGGCAUUCUCUGUAAAACAUGGUCUCAAGAUGAAGCUGAGCACGUGAUUAUAAAAUCCUUUGUUAAGACCUCAGAAUUAUCCAAGAAGAUGCCACAGAGAACCAUCUAAUCAAAUAAUACCACGUCUAAGAGGCUGAAGGCUGUUGUCAGGCAGCAGCCUCAGUAUAAGCCCAACUAGAGAGGCACUUGUCUCACAAAGAUGUGUGGGUGUGGCUUUUGUCUAAUGAUCUGAUACUCAGGACUCAUGACACACCCAUUAAGUUUUUCAAGAGACUUCUGUUGGCAGAAACACUGCCAGCUUAGACUGGAAGGGACAGAGAAUGCAAGAGGAGAAGAAGCUUUUGGACCCUCAAAAUUCUACAGGCAGAAAGCAAGCUAAAGAGGAGUUCCCGUCGUGGCUCAGUGGUUAACGAAUCCGGCUAGGAACCAUGAGGUUGCAGAUUCGAUCCCUGUCCUUGCUCAGUGGGUUAAGGAUCCGGCGUUGCCGUGAGCUGUGGUGUAAGUUGUAGAUGGGGCUCGGAUCCCGUGUUGCUGUGGCUCUGGCGGAGGCUGGCAGCUACAGCUCCAAUUCGACCCCUAGCCUGGGAACCUCCAUAUGCCCUGGGAGUGGCCCAAGAAAUGACGAAAGAAAGAAAAGAAAGCUAAAGAAACUAUGGAGCUGCAAAUAUGGACUGUCUUUCAUGGAGAAGGAAAGAUGGCUCAGGUCUAGAGAAUGAUUCCUGGACAGGAUUAGACAUCAGCGAGCUCCCAACCUUUGUCCAACUGGAUUAUCGAAUUUCUAUGAAGGAACUUUGACUUCUCUGCUUCCUGCUGCCCCCCUUGACCUUUUGAACGAGAGUGGUUAUCCCAAUGCCUGGUCCACCAGUGCAUACUGAGAGUGUGGAUGAGAUAACAAGUCUCUUGAGUUCACAGGUCUUCAGAUCCAGAGGAAAUGUACUUAAGGAGCUGUAGUUAAGAGCUACUCCCAAGGAGCAGCAUCCCUACCUAGACCUGGUUUAGAUGACAAGAUUCUGUACUUAGUGCUGUAAUGGGAUGGGACUUUGGAGGAUCUUGGGAGAAGGUGAGUGUGUUUUGCAUAUGCAAACAGUAUGAAUCAAUGGGAGCCAGAAAGUGGACUAGGGCACCAGCCUCCAAGGGAGUCCCCAGUUAUCCCUGUUUCCUUGUGGUGUUCCCUCCCACACUGAAUAGGGCUAGCAAAACUAGAUCAUAAAAGACAAUAAGAGUCCUCUUGUGGCUCAGAGGGUUAAGGAUCCGGCAUCGUCAUUGCUGUGGCUCCAGGAGCUGGAUUCAUUCCCUGGCUCAGGAACUUCCACAUGCCACAGGGGUGGCCAAAAAAAGAAACAACAACAAAAACCAGUAAGGUCUCCAUCUUGCUCUGUCUUGGAUUAUUUGCUCUGGAGAAGCCAGCUGCCAUAUUGUGAGGACACUCAAACAACCCUAUGGAAAGGCCUCAGUGACAGGGAUCAAAUAUUUCCUGCUGACAGCCAGCGUGCAUUUACCAGUCAUAUGAAUAAGCUUUCUCAGAAACAAAUUCUCCAGACCCAGACGUGCCUUCAGAUUACUGCAGCCUCAGCCGACUUGACACUAAGCUCAUGAGAGACCCCAUGCCAAAAGCACUCAGCUAAGCCACUCCUGAACUCCUAACCCACAGAAACAGAAAAUAAUAUUUGUCGUUGCUUUAAGCUGUUCAGUUUUGGGACAGUUUGUUACACAACAGUAACUAAGACACACUUGCCCCACUGAUGUGUGAUGUUCUCUCUAUAAAUACCAGUUCUCUUGUGUACACUAGUAUGUUUCCAAGUUCUCUAGUGUGUUUUUUGUUGUUUUUGUUUGUUUGUUUGUUCCUGCACCAGAGAUGCAGUGUUGUCAUGAUUAUGGCUUUGUAAGAUCUCUUCAUAUCUGGUAGAGUCAGUCUCUCUUGUUUGACUAUUUUUAAAAAUAGACGUGAGGAGUUCCUCUUGUGGCUUGGUGGGUUAAGAAACUGACAUAGUGUCCAUGAGGAUGCAGGUUCAAUCCCUGGCCUGGAUCAGUGGGUUAAAGAUCUGGCAUCGCUGCAAGCUGUGGCGUAAGUCGCAGAUGCAGCUAGGAUCUAGUGUUGCUGUGGCUGAGGCAUAGGCCUCAGCUGCAGCUCCAAUUGUUGACCCCUAGCCUGGGAACCUCCAUAUGCCGCAGGUGGGACUGUAAAAAGAAAAAAAAAAUUAACCUAAGUAAUGGUAGAUUUAUUCUUCCAUAUUAAUUUUAGAAAGUCUUAGGAGUUUCCAAAAAAAAAAAAAA